rnacentral:snRNA from 1 species
ACCUGCCGAAUCAACUAGCC